AGUUUGAUCCUGGCUCAGGAUGAACGCUAGCUACAGGCUUAACACAUGCAAGUCGAGGGGCAGCAUGAACUUAGCUUGCUAAGUUUGAUGGCGACCGGCGCACGGGUGAGUAACACGUAUCCAACCUGCCGAUGACUCGGGGAUAGCCUUUCGAAAGAAAGAUUAAUACCCGAUGGCAUAGUUCUUCCGCAUGGUAGAACUAUUAAAGAAUUUCGGUCAUCGAUGGGGAUGCGUUCCAUUAGGUUGUUGGCGGGGUAACGGCCCACCAAGCCUUCGAUGGAUAGGGGUUCUGAGAGGAAGGUCCCCCACAUUGGAACUGAGACACGGUCCAAACUCCUACGGGAGGCAGCAGUGAGGAAUAUUGGUCAAUGGACGAGAGUCUGAACCAGCCAAGUAGCGUGAAGGAUGACUGCCCUAUGGGUUGUAAACUUCUUUUAUACGGGAAUAAAGUGAGGCACGUGUGCCUUUUUGUAUGUACCGUAUGAAUAAGGAUCGGCUAACUCCGUGCCAGCAGCCGCGGUAAUACGGAGGAUCCGAGCGUUAUCCGGAUUUAUUGGGUUUAAAGGGAGCGUAGGCGGACGCUUAAGUCAGUUGUGAAAGUUUGCGGCUCAACCGUAAAAUUGCAGUUGAUACUGGGUGUCUUGAGUACAGUAGAGGCAGGCGGAAUUCGUGGUGUAGCGGUGAAAUGCUUAGAUAUCACGAAGAACUCCGAUUGCGAAGGCAGCUUGCUGGACUGUAACUGACGCUGAUGCUCGAAAGUGUGGGUAUCAAACAGGAUUAGAUACCCUGGUAGUCCACACGGUAAACGAUGAAUACUCGCUGUUUGCGAUAUACUGCAAGCGGCCAAGCGAAAGCGUUAAGUAUUCCACCUGGGGAGUACGCCGGCAACGGUGAAACUCAAAGGAAUUGACGGGGGCCCGCACAAGCGGAGGAACAUGUGGUUUAAUUCGAUGAUACGCGAGGAACCUUACCCGGGCUUAAAUUGCAGAUGAAUUACGGUGAAAGCCGUAAGCCGCAAGGCAUCUGUGAGGGUGCUGCAUGGUUGUCGUCAGCUCGUGCCGUGAGGUGUCGGCUUAAGUGCCAUAACGAGCGCAACCCUUGUUGUCAGUUACUAACAGGUUCUGCUGAGGACUCUGACAAGACUGCCAUCGUAAGAUGUGAGGAAGGUGG
rnacentral:rRNA from 1 species